rnacentral:rRNA from 1 species
GACGAACGCUGGCGGCGUGCCUAAUACAUGCAAGUCGAGCGAUGAAGAUUGGUGCUUGCACCUAUUUGAAUAGCAGCGAACGGGUGAGUAACGCGUGGGGAAUCUGCCUUUGAGCGGGGGAUAACAUCUGGAAACGAAUGCUAAUACCGCAUAAUAUCUUUAAACAUAAGUUUCAAGAUUGAAAGAUGCAAUUGCAUUACUCAAUGAUGAUACCGCGUUGUCUUUGCUAGUUGGUGAGGUAAAGGCCCAACAAGGCGAUGGUACAUAGCCGACCUGAGAGGGUGAUUGGCCCAAUUGGGACUGGGACACGGCCCAAACCUCCACGGGGGGCCGCCAGAGGGGAUCUUCGGGAAUUGACGAAAGUCUGGACGGGCAACGCCGCGUUGGGGAAGGAAGUUUUCGGGUCGUAAAACUCUGUUGGUAGAGAAGAACGAUAGGGGGAGUGGAAAGCGCAUCAAGUGACGGUAACUACCCAGAAAGGGACGGCUAACUACGUG